rnacentral:rRNA from 17 species
CCUUGAAAUACCACCCUUUAAUGUUUGAUGUUCUAACGUGGACCCGUGAUCCGGGUUGCGGACAGUGUCUGGUGGGUAGUUUGACUGGGGCGGUCUCCUCCUAAAGAGUAACGGAGGAGCACGAAGGUUGGCUAAUCCUGGUCGGACAUCAGGAGGUUAGUGCAAUGGCAUAAGCCAGCUUGACUGCGAGCGUGACGGCGCGAGCAGGUGCGAAAGCAGGUCAUAGUGAUCCGGUGGUUCUGAAUGGAAGGGCCAUCGCUCAACGGAUAAAAGGUACUCCGGGGAUAACAGGCUGAUACCGCCCAAGAGUUCAUAUCGACGGCGGUGUUUGGCACCUCGAUGUCGGCUCAUCACAUCCUGGGGCUGAAGUAGGUCCCAAGGGUAUGGCUGUUCGCCAUUUAAAGUGGUACGCGAGCUGGGUUUAGAACGUCGUGAGACAGUUCGGUCCCUAUCUGCCGUGGGCGCUGGAGAACUGAGGGGGGCUGCUCCUAGUACGAGAGGACCGGAGUGGACGCAUCACUGGUGUUCGGGUUGUCAUGCCAAUGGCACUGCCCGGUAGCUAAAUGCGGAAGAGAUAAGUGCUGAAAGCAUCUAAGCACGAAACUUGCCCCGA